CUCAGGAGAAGGAACUCGGCAAAUUGACACCGUAACUUCGGGAGAAGGUGUGCCCUUGUAGGGUGAAGUCCCUUGCGGAUGGAGCUCGAAAGGGUUGCAGUGAAAAGGUGGCUGCGACUGUUUAUUAAAAACACAGCACUCUGCAAACACGAAAGUGGACGUAUAGGGUGUGACGCCUGCCCGGUGCUGGAAGAUUAAAUGAUGGGGUGCAAGCUCUUGAUUGAAGUCCCAGUAAACGGCGGCCGUAACUAUAACGGUCCUAAGGUAGCGAAAUUCCUUGUCGGGUAAGUUCCGACCCGCACGAAUGGCGUAACGAUGGCCACACUGUCUCCUCCUGAGACUCAGCGAAGUUGAAAUGUUUGUGAAGAUGCAAUCUCCCCGCUGCUAGACGGAAAGACCCCGUGAACCUUUACUGUAGCUUUGCAUUGGACUUUGAACAGACUUGUGUAGGAUAGGUGGGAGGCUUUGAAGUGGGAACGCCAGUUCUCAUGGAGCCGUCCUUGAAAUACCACCCUGGUGUGUUUGAGGUUCUAACCUAGGUCCGUAAUCCGGAUCGGGGACCGUGCAUGGUAGGCAGUUUGACUGGGGCGGUCUCCUCCCAAAGUGUAACGGAGGAGUUCGAAGGUACGCUAGGCACGGUCGGACAUCGUGCCUAAAGUGCAAUGGCAAAAGCGUGCUUAACUGCGAGACCGACAAGUCGAGCAGGUGCGAAAGCAGGACAUAGUGAUCCGGUGGUUCUGUAUGGAAGGGCCAUCGCUCAACGGAUAAAAGGUACUCCGGGGAUAACAGGCUGAUACCGCCCAAGAGUUCACAUCGACGGCGGUGUUUGGCACCUCGAUGUCGGCUCAUCACAUCCUGGGGCUGUAGCCGGUCCCAAGGGUAUGGCUGUUCGCCAUUUAAAGUGGUACGUGAGCUGGGUUUAAAACGUCGUGAGACAGUUUGGUCCCUAUCUGCCGUGGGCGUUGGAAGUUUGAGGGGGGCUGCUCCUAGUACGAGAGGACCGGAGUGGACG
rnacentral:rRNA from 1 species